GACGAACGCUGGCGGCGUGCCUAAUACAUGCAAGUAGAACGCUGAAGAGAGGAGCUUGCUCUUCUUGGAUGAGUUGCGAACGGGUGAGUAACGCGUAGGUAACCUGCCUUGUAGCGGGGGAUAACUAUUGGAAACGAUAGCUAAUACCGCAUAACAAUGGAUGACACAUGUCAUUUAUUUGAAAGGGGCAAUUGCUCCACUACAAGAUGGACCUGCGUUGUAUUAGCUAGUAGGUGAGGUAAUGACUCACCUAGGCGACGAUACAUAGCCGACCUGAGAGGGUGGUCGGCCACACUGGGACUGGGACACGGCCCAGACUCCUACGGGAGGCAGCAGUAGGGAAUCUUCGGCAAUGGGGGCAACCCUGACCGAGCAACGCCGCGUGAGUGAAGAAGGUUUUCGGAUCGUAAAGCUCUGUUGUAAGUCAAGAACGGGUGUGAGAGUGGAAAGUUCACACUGUGACGGUAGCUUACCAGAAAGGGACGGCUAACUACGUG
rnacentral:rRNA from 1 species